UGCAUGGUUGUCGUCAGCUCGUGUCGUGAGAUGUUGGGUUAAGUCCCGCAACGAGCGCAACCCUUAUCAUUAGUUGCUACGCAAGGGCACUCUAAUGAGACUGCCGGUGACAAACCGGAGGAAGUGGGGAUGACGUCAAGUCCUCAUGGCCCUUAUGGGUAGGGCUUCACACGUCAUACAAUGGUCGGUACAGAGGGUUGCCAAGCCGCGAGGCGGAGCCAAUCCCACAAAGCCAAUCGUAGUCCGGAUUGUUCUCUGCAACUCGAGAGCAUGAAGUCGGAAUCGCUAGUAAUCGCAGGUCAGCAUACUGCGGUGAAUACGUUCCCGGGUCUU
rnacentral:rRNA from 1 species